rnacentral:rRNA from 1 species
ACGGAUAACAUACCGAAAGGUAUGCUAAUACGGGAUAAUAUAUUUGAGAGGCAUCUCUUAAAUAUCAAAGGUGAGCCAGUACAGGAUGGACCCGCGUCUGAUUAGCUAGUUGGUAAGGUAACGGCUUACCAAGGCGACGAUCAGUAGCCGACCUGAGAGGGUGAUCGGCCACAUUGGAACUGAGACACGGUCCAAACUCCUACGGGAGGCAGCAGUAGGGAAUAUUGCACAAUGGGCGAAAGCCUGAUGCAGCAGCGCCGCGUGAGUGAUGAAGGCCUUCGGGUCGUAAAACUCUGUCCUCAAGGAAGAUAAUGACGGUACUUGAGGAGGAAGCCCCGGCUAACUACGUGCCAGCAGCCGCGGUAAUACGUAGGGGGCUAGCGUUAUCCGGAUUUACUGGGCGUAAAGGGUGCGUAGGCGGUCUUUCAAGUCAGGAGUGAAAGGCUACGGCUCAACCGUAGUAAGCUCUUGAAACUGGGAGACUUGAGUGCAGGAGAGGAGAGUGGAAUUCCUAGUGUAGCGGUGAAAUGCGUAGAUAUUAGGAGGAACACCAGUUGCGAAGGCGGCUCUCUGGACUGUAACUGACGUUGAGGCACGAAAGCGUGGGGAGCAAACAGGAUUAGAUACCCUGGUAGUCCACGCUGUAAACGAUGAGUACUAGGUGUCGGGGGUUACCCCCUUCGGUGCCGCAG